CCGGAGUGGACGCAUCACUGGUGUUCGGGUUGUCAUGCCAAUGGCACUGCCCGGUAGCUAAAUGCGGAAGAGAUAAGUGCUGAAAGCAUCUAAGCACGAAACUUGCCCCGAGAUGAGUUCUCCCUGAGACUUUAAGUCUCCUGAAGGAACGUUGAAGACGACGACGUUGAUAGGCCGGGUGUGUAAGCGCAGCGAUGCGUUGAGCUAACCGGUACUAAUGAACCGUGAGGCUUAACCUUACAACGCCGAAG
rnacentral:rRNA from 3 species